rnacentral:rRNA from 1 species
AGUGAACGCUGGCGGUAGGCCUAACACAUGCAAGUCGAACGGCAGCACAGUAAGAGCUUGCUCUUACGGGUGGCGAGUGGCGGACGGGUGAGGAAUACAUCGGAAUCUACUUUUUCGUGGGGGAUAACGUAGGGAAACUUACGCUAAUACCGCAUACGACCUACGGGUGAAAGCAGGGGAUCUUCGGACCUUGCGCGAGUGAAUGAGCCGAUGUCGGAUUAGCUAGUUGGCGGGGCAAAGGCCCACCAAGGCGACGAUCCGUAGCUGGUCUGAGAGGAUGAUCAGCCACACUGGAACGGAGACACGGUCCAGACUCCUACGGGAGGAAGCAGUGGGGAAUAUUGGACAAGGGGCGCAAGCCUGAUCCAGCCAUACCGCGUGGGUGAAGAAGGCCUUCGGGUGGUAAAGCCCUUUUGUUGGGAAAGAAAAGCAGCAGGUUAAUACCCCGCUGUUCUGACGGUACCCAAAGAAUAAGCACCGGCUAACUUCGUG